CGCGCCGCGGCGGGGCGGCCCAUCACCGUCGGCGUCAUCGGCGCCGGGAAAUUCGGUUCCAUGUUCCUCGCCAUGGCGGCGCGC
rnacentral:tRNA from 1 species